ACCUCGGUUCCCGUGAUGGCUGUGCUCGCACGCGCACGUGGACACUGCCAUCACACUGAGCUCCGCCUGGGCUCACAGGAAGCUGUCUCUCAUGGACUCACAGCUCUCUCCACCAAAUGGGGAGAAGCUUGCUCCACAGACAGAAGUGUUAGUCUUAGUACAUGGUCAGCCCACCCAGGUAGCCCACAGGAUGGGAUGCGUCCUUCCCCUGCGCCAGGCAGGCAAAUGUCAGCCCUGCGGUCUACUCAGCACCCUCGGGACCAUCUACUUCCUUCUCUAUAAUAGUGACAAAGUAGACCCAGCCACCUUACCUGGUGUUGUACCGUUAAAUGAGGAGGGGACACAGUGCUGGCUCACAGGGGCCACCGGGCAGAGGGUGCUACUGAGUGUCCUAAGGAGCCCAGGCCUUCCCUCUGAGGAAAGGUUGGCAAAUCCAUGAUCCCCUCUCAGGGAGAGCGAGGAAAUGGGCUGCCUGCUGAACGUGAACUUGCUCUGGCUACAGUCAGCGAGCCCUUAAAUUCCAUUUCAUCAGGGCGCAGGAGUCUGGGUUGGUCCAAGAGUCUGGCCUCCUGGUCCAGGUGUGUCACAGGGAGCCUUCAGUGACAUGUGAGCAGCAGCUCCAGCAGGCCGAGUGAAAGGGCCCUCCAGAAGGAAGGCUCCCAAGGCGGACACCCCCAACCGUCCAAUGAGAAACGCACACAGGUGCUUCCAGGAGGAAAGUCCCAGGGUUCCCUGAGUUCGUCCUCACCCCUCCAGGGCAGGGGAUGGCAUUCCACUUCCCAGACACUCCGCACGGGCUGCUAGCGCAGACCAUUUGUCAGAGGGUCAGGUCCACGAUGUAGAAAUCGCAGAUCCAUAUUCACAAUCAGUGAGAAGUUUAGGCAAAGCCUUGGCUGAGUAAUUUCUCUUCUGCAGAUGGGAGGGAUGAUCCUUUCCAACAAAGGGAAUGGAGCGGGGCUGUGUGGCCACAGCUGAGCCCGGCCAUGCCCCCUGCCCACUGAUAUCACUCUCCGUGGACAUGCCACCCUGUGAGCACAGCUCGCCAGCUUUCCCUUGAACAAAAGGCGACUGCUGGGCCACCUCUCAGGCUCUGGAAGAUGAAUGGACCCGUCACUUGGAAGGUUUCAGACUCUGACAAGCAGAAGGGUUGGUUUGGAAAAGCAAUUGCAGAGAGCGGUAUAAUUAUAACACAGACGCAUGUGGGGCUCGCUCCAAGCUCAUUUCCAAACCUAAUGGGUUUUUCUAACAAUAACAUGCCUCCAAAAGGGAUGCGCUACAAGGAGAUGUGUGCAAUGGGUGUGUUGCCCGUCCAGUCAAAAAUAACCUGGCAGUCAUUUGCAAGCAGGACGUGGCCCUUCCUGACAAUGAAAACAAGCAUGUCCAUGCCAGUGGCCAAAGUUUUGAGAUUAUUAAGUCACUAUGGUGACCUGAGCUGUGGUUAGAAGCACCCGGAGGACGGAGGCUCCCUGCAGAACUCCGAGGCUACUUGCUGAAACGAGGCAUCUGUGUGUUGUUAUGGGCAGAACUGUGGUACAUGGACACUCCAGCCCCUCAGAUCAUGACUAGGCCAGAAAGAAGCCCUGCUCCAGCAGUGCUGCCGUCCUCAUCUUUAAAGGUCUGGUGGAGACGCACAUGGAGAAGACUACGUGAAGAUUCUUCCUGCCCCACAGCCCGCCUCCGUGGUGGGAUGAAGCUUCCAGCUCUUCCAGCUAUCAG